rnacentral:rRNA from 1 species
CCUACGGGCGGCUGCAGUGGGGAAUAUUGCACAAUGGGGGAAACCCUGAUGCAGCAACGCCGCGUGAAGGAUGACGGUUUUCGGAUUGUAAACUUCUAUUAUUAGGGAAGAAAGAAAUGACGGUACCUAAAUAAGAAGCCCCGGCUAACUACGUGCCAGCAGCCGCGGUAAUACGUAGGGGGCAAGCGUUAUCCGGAAUUACUGGGUGUAAAGGGGGAGUAGGCGGCAAGGUAAGCGAUAUGUGAAAGCCUUAAGCUUAACUUAAGGAUGGCAUAACGAACUAUCUAGCUAGAGUGCAGGAGAGGAAAGCGGAAUUCCUGGUGUAGCGGUGAAAUGCGUAGAUAUUAGGAGGAACACCAGUGGCGAAGGCGGCUUUCUGGACUGAAACUGACGCUGAGGCUCGAAAGCGUGGGGAGCGAACAGGAUUAGAUACCCCUGUAGUC